rnacentral:rRNA from 1 species
UAAGGAAUAUUGGACAAUGGACGCAAGUCUGAUCCAGCCAUGCCGCGUGAAGGAUUAAGGUCCUCUGGAUUGUAAACUUCUUUUAUAAGGGACGAAAAAAGGUCUUUCUAGAUCGUCUGACGGUACCUUAUGAAUAAGCACCGGCUAACUCCGUG